UCAAUCCAGAGAGCCCUGCUGGUCCAGCACUGUUUCCAACAGCAAUCAAGAGGAAAUGUUUAAAGAGAAGAAUAAACUACUUAUAGAAAAAUAAAGUGUCUGUGCCUCCAGCAACCACUGAUGUAGACAUCUUCAGGAGACUACAUUUAUACAACCAGGCUUAACAGCCUCCACUAUGUCUAUCUGUUGAAAUUUCCCCCUUUUUGGGGCUGUUUUUUAAAUAAAAAGAUAAUACCUCGGGUAUAUCCAGUGGCAAUGUCCCACUUUCCUGGUUUAUUCCCAGCUGAUGAAGCCAUGGGUGAUUCUGUGCCUUCACAGUGCCCUGGAAAGUGCCUGCUCUGCACCUGGGGCAGUUUGGUGGAGUUAGGCUGACUUCAGACAGGAUGAUCUUCUACGACUUUUCUGCAACUUCAAAAGAGGUUCACAAAGCCAUGUGCCACAUGAAGCACCUGGGGUGGUCCUCUGCUGAUGUCAAAUAAUUCAGUUUCCACUUCCUCUGGAUGUGCAAGACUCACAGCUACAUUCCUUGCAAAUGAGGUCUGAAGUAACAUACAUUUCCAGGACUAGAAGUCUACAACACUGGAAGUUGAGCAUCAUCUUAAACUCCUUGACCACAGACAUGGGAAGUUUGCAAAAAGAAAUGUGCAUGCCAAAAGCAUGUCUCCUUCACUCAUGUCAAUAUUGGCAAUGCAUGGGGAGCCUGAAAAAAUGCAGGUUUAAACACUUAAACAUUAAGGAUGUAAUUUGUUGUUUUUUAAAUCUCACUAAUUGUUCAUUAAGUAGUACUCUUGCCCUUCUCCCCAUCCCUGGAGUGAAUUGAAAAGCUGGGACAAAAGUGUGAGUGAGUCACAAGUGAAAGAAUUUGUUUAACCCCUGAUGUAGGAGUAGCAGUUUUAGCUUCCUGAGCUAUGUGAAAUUAAUUCCACAAUAAAUGAUGUAGAGCUAAUUGCA
rnacentral:lncRNA from 1 species